AUUAUUACCUAUGCAUUUUAUCUGAGUCCAACUUAUUAAAAAACGAAGUCAAGUAAGGACCAGAAAUUGCUUUUCCCAAUUACUGAGCACAGGUCUGAGGGUUUUAUUUCCACUGAGCAAAUAGUCACACCUUCACUUCUUUUUAUUAAUACUCAACCAACUUAGUUGAUUAAAAAUCACAUUUUCUCCCUCAUUUUACAUACGAUAAAUUAAUUAUUUUGGAUAAUUUGUUUUAAUAAGAAUAUGCACACAUUUUCUAAUUUCAAUAAAAGUCACCUUCAAUACCGCCAGUUCUCUCCAAAUGAGCAUCAUUCCAGGCAGAUAUACCUGCUGUGCCUCUUGGCCGACACCAGCAAAUCUAAGCAUUAUAACGAAAUAAAUCCAGCCAGAUUUCAUGGUAGGUAUCAAAUAAGACUUUGGCUCUUAAAGAACAUCGUUAGAAAUUUUGAUAGCUCAUUCCAGAGUUUCAGAAUGUCAUUUAAAACAGUCUGAUAAAUGGAACAACCAUCUACCAUCACACUCAUAGAGUAGCUCAAAUUGCAUUUUACCCAAAUAAAUACACUGGGUCUUAAUCUUAAGAUGUGACAACUAAAAAAUUUUUAACAAGUCUGUGUUUGAUCCUGGAUUUAGUGCAGUUGCACCCAGGCACGAGCUCUCCAGAUGAUUCUGAGGAAAGGAGUCUACAAUUUUCCUAGGGGGUGUAUGAACAUGGUACCAAAAAGGUGAUUAAUAAUUAUAAUAAUGGUUUAUAUUUAUCAACUGCUUAUUAUGUGCCCACACUGUACAAAAUCCUUACAGAUAGUAACUCAUUAAUCCCUCCAGUAACAUAUGAGACAAGCACUACUAUCUUCUCCAACUCACAGAUAAAGAAGGCUGAGGCUCAGAAAAAUUGAAUGGCUUGCCCAAGGUAAGUGGCCUCCAGAACCAAACCUCAGGCUAUCUGGCUCCAGGGUUCAUGUUCUUCCGACAACAUCACAAUGCCACUCUCAACCCAGGAGCAAAACCAGACAAAGUGCCUACUGCAGACCGGAAGACCCUCGUUUGAAGCCUCCAUUAGCGUGACUAUGCAGCUAGACCAACUUACUGUUAAGCAACAGUACCUUUUACUAUGAGGUACCCUUUACUAUUAAGUACCUUUUACUAACAGUAUCUUCUGUUACCUAUUAUUAAGUUCAUGCUAUACUUCUUCAAUCUGAAAGCUUUCUGUUAAAAAAAAAAAUGUUAACAUCGUUCUAAAUUAAUAUUGAGACCUUAGAAAUUUUUCCUGUGCAAGAUAACGUAAUUAUUUGCCCCUUCCCUUCCAUGGCUUGUUAGCAGGUAGAUGAGGGGCUUCUCCUAGAUUAAUUUAACAUCUCAGUUAAUCAAAAGUAGCCGGGCAUGGUGACUCAUGCCUGUAAUCCCAGCCCUUUGGGAGGCAGAGGCGGGUGGAUCACUUAAGGUCAGGAGUUCAAGACCAGCCUGGCCAGCAUGGUGAAACCCUAUCUCUACUAAAAAAUACAAAAAUUAGCUGGGUGUGGUGGUGCACACCUGAAACCCCAGCUACUCAGGAGGCUGAGGCAGGAGAAUCGCUUGAACCCAGGAGGCAGAGUUUGCAGUGAGCCAUUGCACUCCAGCCUGGGCAACAGAGCAAGACUCCGUCAAAAAAAAAAAAAAAAAAAAAGAAAGAAAAGGAAAUUUAUGAACUCCAGAGUACCCAUUCACUACCAAACCAACUGAGGGGAGAGAAAACUGAGGGAGAAAGUGGGGUGGGGUCUCAAAGGGUUUGCACUGUGCUUUGCUAUAAAUCAUUCAAAGGGGCAAAUUCUAAAGGAUCUCUAAGUAGUUGCUGAUUUUGUAAAGGUAGCCCAUAAAUCUGUUUACGUGUAGCUGCCUUAAACAUGAGUCAACAGGGUAAGUCACACCAACAGGAAACCCAAGCACUAAAAAAGCCACCUACCUUUUCUGUUUACCAAAUACUAAGAAUAAUAAUCUAAUAAUCUGGCUACAUCUUUCAUAAAGACCUCCAUCUUCUCUCCUUAACUGACUGUUGAGAUUUGAUAAUUUUCACAGUCUAAUGAUAAAAUGCUUUCAAAAUGGUUCAUCUAACACAAUUAACAAUUCUUUUACUAUAUGCAAUGUGUUACCCUUACUAUAUUUCCUAUUGCUAAUAGAUUAGCCCACUAUUGAAAAAAUUCUGCAGUUGUGACCGUGUUCACAUGAAAGCAUAUACAAGACAUGGAGAGACAGCAAAAAAUGGUGGGAAUGGGUGUGUGUAUGAGGGUUUCAGAUAAGAACUUCAAUUAUAUAAUUUAAGAAGAGUCAGUCUAUAAUUUAAGCAGAAAUAAUUGAGAUACUCAUCAAAUUAAGUAAGCGGAAAAAUUUCCUCUCUCUCAUACUAUGUUGCUAUCAUCACAUCUAUCGUUGGAGGGUUGCUGAGCUUGAUACGCCUUUGAACCAUUUUAUUUGACUUUCCACGUGCCGUCUCAUUGGUAGGGAGAUGGUGAAAAGCGUUGGGUGGUGUAGGACGAGGGAGGUUUUCACUCUGAAGCUAUGAAGAUUUGGAGAAAGGGGCUUAUAGAAGCACUAUGAAAAUAAACUGGAGACUAUUUUUUUGCUACUUUUUAAAAAGCUUUUUCUUUAGAGAGUACUAAAGCCAUUCUAUAUCUGUCGUACACAUGAAUUCAGACUAUUAUUAGAGAGUUAUAUCUGUGUUGUCAUGCACAUGUCAACACUGUCCUGAUGACAAAAUUUUAUGUAUCCCCCCAGAUAAAAAUUUUAAGAAAUUUUAAAUGCUUUUUAUUCACACACACUUUUCAAAAGGGAUAAAAGUUAAUCAUGUUAAAAUAUUCAGUCUAUGGCAGAUGUCGCUCCUUUGGGCCCUCACUGCUGAAUUGCUUACAGUUUCUGAGCUGUAAACUAACAUUUGCUUUACUAUGUAGUUACAGAGAAAUGUGCAACUUGUUUGUGAAACAUUCAAAUAAAGCUUAUCUGGGAUUUUUAA
rnacentral:lncRNA from 10 species